UUGAGCCCUGUGAGGUGAAAGUCUCAUGCAGGGUUCUUAGGUCUGUGGGUAUGGAUGGCCGACAUGCCUAU
rnacentral:ncRNA from 1 species